rnacentral:rRNA from 1 species
AUACGUAGGUGGCAAGCGUUAUCCGGAUUUACUGGGUGUAAAGGGCGCGUAGGCGGGGGUGCAAGUCAGAUGUGAAAUCUAUGGGCUUAACUCAUAAACUGCAUUUGAAACUGUAUCUCUUGAGUGCUGGAGAGGUAGACGGAAUUCCUUGUGUAGCGGUGAAAUGCGUAGAUAUAAGGAAGAACACCAGUGGCGAAGGCGGUCUACUGGACAGUAACUGACGCUGAGGCGCGAAAGCGUGGGGAGCAAACAGGAUUAGAUACCCUGGUAGUCCACGCGGUAAACGAUGAAUGCUAGGUGUUGCGGGUAUCGACCCCUGCAGUGCCGGAGUAAACACAAUAAGCAUUCCGCCUGGGGAGUACGGCCGCAAGGUUGAAACUCAAAUGAAUUGACGGG